rnacentral:sRNA from 1 species
UGCGACUCCUCGACACUGCUCUGCUGCUU